rnacentral:rRNA from 1 species
AAUGAUCAGCCACACUGGAACUGACACACGGUCCAGACUCCUACGGGAGGCAGCAGUGAGGAAUUUUGCGCAAUGGGGGAAACCCUGACGCAGCAACGCCGCGUGAGUGAUGAAGGCUUUCGGGUCGUAAAGCUCUGUCAAGUGGGAAGAAACCACGAGGUGAUAAUAUCGCUUUGUGCUGACGGUACCACUGAAGGAAGCACCGGCUAACUCCGUGCCAGCAGCCGCGGUAAUACGGGGGGUGCAAGCGUUAUUCGGAAUCAUUGGGCGUAAAGGGCGCGUAGGCGGUUUGUUAAGUCAGAUGUGAAAGCCCGGGGCUCAACCCCGGAAGUGCAUUUGAUACUGGCGGACUUGAGUAUGGGAGAGGGAAGUGGAAUUCCUGGUGUAGAGGUGAAAUUCGUAGAUAUCAGGAGGAACACCGGUGGCGAAGGCGACUUCCUGGACCAAUACUGACGCUGAGGCGCGAAGGCGUGGGUAGCAAACAGGAUUAGAUACCCUGGUAGUCCACGCAGUAAACGGUGAUCACUAGGUGUAGCGGGUAUUGACCCCUGCUGUGCCGCAGUCAACGCAUUAAGUGAUCCGCCUGGGGAGUACGGCCGCAAGGUUAAAACUCAAAGGAAUUGACGGGGGCCCGCACAAGCGGUGGAGCAUGUGGUUUAAUUCGACGCAACGCGAAGAACCUUACCUGGGUUUGACAUCUCGGGGAUUUUCUGGAAACAAGAAAGUGCCCUUCGGGGAGCCCGAAGACAGGUGCUGCAUGGCUGUCGUCAGCUCGUGUCGUGAGAUGUUGGGUUAAGUCCCGCAACGAGCGCAACCCUUAUCUUUAGUUACCAUCACUUCGGGUGGGGACUCUAAAGAUACUGCCCCGGUCAACGGGGAGGAAGGUGGGGAUGACGUCAAGUCCUCAUGGCCUUUAUGCCCAGGGCUACACACGUGCUACAAUGGGCGAUACAAAGGGUAGCGAGCCUGCGAAGGUGAGCCAAUCCCAAAAAGUCGUUCUUAGUUCGGAUUGGAGUCUGCAACUCGACUCCAUGAAGCUGGAAUCGCUAGUAAUCGCGGAUCAGCACGCCGCGGUGAAUACGUUCCCGGGCCUUGUACACACCGCCCGUCACACCAUGAGAGUUGGUUGUACCAGAAGUUGUUGGGCUAACCCGCAAGGGAGGCAGGCACCUAAGGUAUGGCUGAUGAUUGGGGUGAAGUCGUAACAAGGUA